rnacentral:rRNA from 1 species
UACCAGGUCUUGACAUCCAGUGCAAACCUAAGAGAUUAGGUGUUCCCUUCGGGGACGCUGAGACAGGUGGUGCAUGGCUGUCGUCAGCUCGUGUCGUGAGAUGUUGGGUUAAGUCCCGCAACGAGCGCAACCCUUGUCAUUAGUUGCCAUCAUUAAGUUGGGCACUCUAAUGAGACUGCCGGUGACAAACCGGAGGAAGGUGGGGAUGACGUCAAGUCAUCAUGCCCCUUAUGACCUGGGCUACACACGUGCUACAAUGGACGGUACAACGAGAAGCGAACCUGCGAAGGCAAGCGGAUCUCUUAAAGCCGUUCUCAGUUCGGACUGUAGGCUGCAACUCGCCUACACGAAGCUGGAAUCGCUAGUAAUCGCGGAUCAGCACGCCGCGGUGAAUACGUUCCCGGGCCUUGUACACACCGCCCGUCACACCAUGAGAGUCUGUAACACCCAAAGCCGGUGGGAUAACCUUUAUAGGAGUCAGCCGUCUAAGGUAGGACAGAUGAUUAGGGUGAAGUCGUAACAAGGUAACCGU